rnacentral:lncRNA from 1 species
GAUGCUAUCUCAUUUCUUCAGUUAUUUUUGUAGAUAUAUACAACCUUUAAAGUCUUGAAAUCAAUGAAAAAUAUCUCAAAACCUUAUAAAGUAUCUUUUUUUCUUUCUUAUUAUCAGUUUUGUACCUAGACUCACCGUAUUCUGGACAUUCACUUGCUUGUUCGUUCUCCUUAUAAAAUAAUAUAUAGUCAUUUUUGCAAGCAUGUAUAGGAAUAUAGCCAAAUCUCUCAAUUCCUGCAUGUAUGUUUUUGCUUCAGAAUAUGGUUUCGGAAGUCUCUCUCCA